AGGAGGACCAGAUCAUCAUGACAUGGCCUCCUAAAACAUCCUUUCGAGGGCAAAGGAGACAGAAGAAAGUGACCUCCUAGCAACUGCCUGUGCAAAGAAGAGACUCAACAAAAGAAAAGACUUCUCUCAUGAAGACCCAAGAGCUUCAGGGUCAGAAUGAGGAUAAGAAUUUGGUACUGCUGACAUUUCUACACCUACUCUUCUGUGCUUUUGCCUUGAAAUCUUGAGAACUUCCCUGCUCAAAGAUAAAACCUCAUACACUACAUGAAAUUUCUUUGUUUUUCGGUAACUCUUUCUCUUUGGUCAGAUUCAAGCUGUUUUGAGAUACCCAAACUACUGUUUGCUGAAGUCAACUCAAUAAUUAAAAACAACAACAAGUGAUAUCAAUUAUUUGACACUAUACAGACAAAACAACCUACUGCAUGAAUUAUAGGCUACUUCUACCACUGCCCAGAUGAAAUGGGAUCAAAGUGGACACUUGCCUACUUCCAAACUUAGGUAAAAAUGGAGACAGACAGGGUGACAAACAGGAAAGCAUUUUGACCAUCCAUAUAUGUGGCUCUGUUUCAACAGUGUUUGCCAUAUACCACAGGCAGCUACAAGUGAUGUUUCUCAUUGUAAAUAUAUUCUUCAGAUUGCAAAAAUAUUUUGCUCUUUGGUUGUUUUUAUUUGAUGGAUUCAGUGCCAUGUGCCACAGGCAAAGCCCUGUGCUAGAAGAUGAAGAGGCACAGAUGAUUAUAAAGCAGAAUCCCAGCUCCCAAAGAACAGAUGAGGGAGGAACCGAAAUAUUUAGAGAAUAUUUGUAUGUGUGAAGAACCUCAUUACCAUACCACUGGUUACAAAGGAAGUCCAUGGGAAUCCAGUGGGGGCAGGAGCUUGGACUGAGAACGGUGGGCCACCCAUAAGCCGAGACACAGCAGGCUGAACACAGCAGGGAGGUGCUGCAGGGAGGGAGGUGAGAGGAGAAGGCACUCUCCCUGAGCACACCCCAUCAGUUUUGAAGGUAUGCUUACACAACCCUUGUGAAAAUCAUGAUAAAAAGAUGUUAACCAGGC
rnacentral:lncRNA from 1 species